CUUUUGAAUAUGUAUAGAAUAGUAUUUAACAGUGCACAAGUAUAAAAAAUGCUUCUUAAAUAAAUCAGAUUUUCCAGCAUAUUUAGUGUGAGUCUGCAAUGCAAAUAAACAAAUUUUUACCAAAACUAAAUAACUCGAAUCAGAAACGUCUCAUUCUCGCUUAUCGGACCUUUUCUAAAUUUAUCGUCGGACACACCGCUAAACUCCAAACGGGACCUUCGAUAUUCGAACAGAGUUUUAAAACUCGGACGACAGCAGUGUAAAUCAUACGGCUCACGAAAAUAGUCCCAGCAAAUUUCACCGAAGAGCUCC
rnacentral:lncRNA from 1 species